rnacentral:rRNA from 1 species
CAAUAGCGUAUAUUUAAGUUGUUGCAGUUAAAAAGCUCGUAGUCGGAUUUUGGCUGAGAACGAUCGGUCCGCCGUUAGGUGUGCACUGAUUGGUCUCAGCUUCCUGGUGAGGAGGUGUGCUUCACGGCCACUUAGUCACCGUGGUUACUUUGAAAAAAUUAGAGUGUUCAAAGCGGGCUUACGCUUGAAUAUAUUAGCAUGGAAUAACACCAUAGGACUCCUGUCCUAUUUCGUUGGUCUCGGGACGGGAGUAAUGAUUAAGAGGAACAGUUGGGGGCAUUCGUAUUUCACUGUCAGAGGUGAAAUUCUUGGAUUUAUGAAAGACGAACUUCUGCGAAAGCAUUUGCCAAGGAUGUUUUCAUUGA